rnacentral:lncRNA from 10 species
AGACCACCCACCACUCCUCACCACCAUGAUUGGGACACAGGUGUGCCUAGGUGGGCAAGGAAGGCUUCUCGGAUGGGGAAGGUGGUCUUGGUCUGGGGUUUGAACAAGGAGAAUUAGGAUAGGGGAGGUGUGCCCCUGAGGCUGAACAGGUCUGGGCGAACAGGAGGAAACCAUACUAUUUCCUUUCUCAGCUCAGAGACUAGGCACAUCUUGGCCUUGUGUUUGCUUCUGACUUUGGAUCAAAGGAAGCAGGGAACCCCAGAGUCUCCUAUUUAAGACUAUAAGCUCCGUGAGGUGCUUCUGCUGCCCUAGCUUCCUUCCUGUUCUUCAAAUGUGCCAAACUUGUUCCCACCUCUAGGCUUUUACCUUGAGUGUCUCCUGCUCUCUCCACUGUAUAAUUAUGUUUUAUCUUCACACUUACCACCAUCUGAAAGUAUCAUGCUUGUCUGAUUAUCGUUGACUGUUUCGUUCUUAGAGUAUAAACUGCAUGGCAAAAGGGACUUUGCCUGAUGGACUCAUGGCUAUAUCUCCAACAUCUGGAACAGUGCAUGGC